GACGAACGCUGGCGGCGUGCUUAACACAUGCAAGUCGAGCGGAAAGGCCUCCUUCGGGGGGUACUCGAUCGGCGAGCGGGUGAGUCACACGCGAGGGAUCUGCCCUUCACUUCGGGAUAACUGCCUGAAAGAGUGGCUAAUACCGGGUAUGACCAGCCCCUGCACGGGGUGUUGGGGGAACGGUUUGUCUGGAGGGGGAUGUGAUCGCGGGCUAUCAGGUUGUUGGUGGGGUAAUGGCCUACCAAGGCUUUGACGGGUAGCCGGCCUGAGAGGGUGACCAGCCACGCUGGGAGUGAGAGACGGCCCAGCCUCCGACGGGAGGCAGCAGGGGGGAAUAGUGGAGAAUGGGCGGAAGCCGGAGCCAGCAACGCCGCGUGAGGGAUGACGGCCUUCGGGUUGUAAACCUCUUUCAGCACAGACGAAGCGGCCGCUACGUGUGGUGGUGGUGACGGUAUGUGCAGAAGAAGCACCGGCUAACUACGUGCCAG
rnacentral:rRNA from 1 species